rnacentral:lncRNA from 1 species
AUCCCUCCUUAUUCUACUUAAUUAGUACUGCUGUCAGGAUCUGGCUCACACCACCCCCAGCAGCUGCAGGAUCGGGGCCAGCCUGACCCAGGAAUGACCUGGUUUUUGCUGGCUCAAGCCCUGGCCUGUGUAGCAGCUGCUGGGUCACUCAUGAGGCUCACCUGGAAACCUGGAGGGAAGACCUAUUUAAGGAGUGGUUCUGCCUUCGAAAAGUUGCCUUAGCCAAAGAUCUUCACCUGUGCCAUACUGGUCUUGAUUACCUGUGUUUCAGUGCCUCUGCCUGCCUCUCCCCCCACCCCACUUGUCUCUGCCAUCUCUAUAUCUGGACUCCAGUGUCCCUGUUCCUGCCUUGGUGCCCUGCUUGCUUCUGCUGGUCUCCUGUAUCUCAAGUUUCUUUUUCUGGCUCCCAGUCUGGUACUCCUGCCUCUGUUUGGUCAUAGCCAGCUACACAUCAGUGUCUUUGGAUUUGAUACCCUGUGUGGUGGACUGGGUCCUGGUGCUCUUGUCCAUGGUGAGAGGCUGCCUGGGAUAUCUUUGACUGUGAGAAGUACCAAUAAUUUUACUGGAGCUAUCCAUGCACAUGAAGAAUUUUUCUUCAUUCACUUGAAUGGAAGCGGUAGAUACCUAUGUAUUUCCUUUAAACCAGGAGUGGGGUAAAUGUAUCUCUUUGGUGGUGGUUGUACUACAGCUCCCAUGAUUCUACAGACAGCACAACUUGACAGUGAAGCAUGCUGGCAUUUGUAGCCCAUCCCCUGCUUUGAACACAUCAAGCAACAUCUUUUUUUUGAAACAGGUAGGCAGACUGGCCUUUGGACAGCACAUGGACCAGCACAGCAGAGUGUUUACAGUUGAAGAUGAGGGAAAUCAUCUGA